GAGUUUGAUCAUGGCUCAGAUUGAACGCUGGCGGCAUGCCUUACACAUGCAAGUCGAACGGCAGCACGGGAGCUUGCUCCUGGUGGCGAGUGGCGAACGGGUGAGUAAUGCAUCGGAACGUAUCCUGGAGUGGGGGAUAACGUAGCGAAAGUUACGCUAAUACUGCAUAUUCUGUGAGCAGGAAAGCGGGGGACCUUCGGGCCUCGCGCUCUUGGAGCGGCCGAUGUCGGAUUAGCUAGUUGGUGAGGUAAAGGCUCACCAAGGCGACGAUCCGUAGCAGGUCUGAGAGGAUGAUCUGCCACACUGGAACUGAGACACGGUCCAGACUCCUACGGGAGGCAGCAGUGGGGAAUUUUGGACAAUGGGGGCAACCCUGAUCCAGCCAUGCCGCGUGAGUGAAGAGGGCCU
rnacentral:rRNA from 1 species